AUUGUUGUAAGUUUUUAUUUCAGAAUUAAAUGUGUGUAUCAACAUUUGUUAUGUUCUCAUAAACUUUGUAAUACAUGGAGAUUCCUGGUCCACAUAUGUAAGUCUCUACAUGAAUGUUAUUUUGAGGCAUUUAACCUUCUAUUUUAAUAUUUCAAAGGUCUAAAUGAAAUUGAGAUUUUGGUUUCUGAGAUGAAAUAAUGGUAGGCGACUGAGAAAUGCUUAAAAAUUAGGCAAAACUUAAAAUUAAGUUAAAGUUUACCUUCAAUAUUCAACCUGAAUAAGUCGCCCUGUAUUGCUGGUAAUAAAGAAUAAGUUUUUAGUGAUAUAAAAGGAAACUUCAGAGAAUUUUUUUUUUCCCCCAGUUGACAUAUAAAUUAAAAGAUAUAAAAAAUUGUUAUGGCCUUAUGCAUUUUUUACUUUAGAAUUCCAACUUUUUCUGUUUAACAUUUUUCCAGUUAACAUUUUUCCAAACAGAUUCCUGUGUAUUUGAAAGACAAAUAAUUUUUUAGUUGAACUGCUUAAGCAGUUAAAUAAGGCCAUGAUAGUUUCUUGAACUUGUGGGAAUCCAUGAGAAAAUCUGACAUUAUGUUCUAUUCUCUUGGAAGGUAGAAAUAUCGUUUGACUUCUAUUUUGCUGACAAGAAAUGUCCUGAGCAAGGCUACCUGGUAAAAGGGAGCCAAGGGAGCUUGUUUUCUCCUUCCGCCAUGUGAGGACACAGCUAGGAGGUGCCCUCUAUAAGGAACAGGUCCUCAACAGACACCCAAUCUACCACUACCUUGACCUUCCAUUUGCCAGCAUCCAGACCUAUGAGACAUAAAUUUCUGCUGCUUAUAAGCCCCUAGGCUAAGGAGAACAGGGAAUCCACAGAUAAAGAAAAGACAUCGUGGUUGCCAGAGCUCGCGGGAGGGGGCAACAGGGACCGACUGCUUAAUGUGUAUGGUUCCCCUUUAGGGUGAGGAUGUGUUCUAGGACGAGGUGGAGGUCAGGGUUGCAGGACAAGAUGGCAGCGCUAAAUGCCACUGAAUUGUUUGCUUUAACGUCAUUAGUUUUGUUAUGUGAAUUUCAUCUCAAUAGAAUAAGUAGGUCAAGCUGGCUGUAGGGCCCACCCCACCGCGGCCUGGAGCAGGGUCUUCUGGGGUGUACCACCUCUGCCCUCACCCAGGCUCCACCACGACCAGCUUCGUCCACCCUCCAGGAGACCAUGAAGGCCCACGUGUGAAAUCCUCACUAAGCCCACCCUCCCGUCUCCCUGAACUAU
rnacentral:lncRNA from 1 species